rnacentral:rRNA from 1 species
GUCGAACGCAACCUUCGGGUUGAGUGGCGGACGGGUGAGUAACGCGUGAGAAUCUGCCUUGGGGUCGGGGACGACCACUGGAAACGGUGGCUAAUACCGGAUAAGCCUUUGGGUAAAAGAUUUAUUGCCCCAAGAGGAGCUCGCGUCUGAUUAGCUAGUUGGUGAGGUAAAAGCUCACCAAGGCAGCGAUCAGUAGCUGGUCUGAGAGGACGAUCAGCCACACUGGGACUGAGACACGGCCCAGACUCCUACGGGAGGCAGCAGUGGGGAAUUUUCCGCAAUGGGCGAAAGCCUGACGGAGCAAGACCGCGUGAGGGAGGAAGGCUCUUGGGUUGUAAACCUCUUUUCUCAGGGAAGAAGCUCUGACGGUACCUGAGGAAUCAGCCUCGGCUAACUCCGUGCCAGCAGCCGCGGUAAUACGGAGGAGGCAAGCGUUAUCCGGAAUUAUUGGGCGUAAAGCGUCCGCAGGUGGCGAUUCAAGUCUGCUGUCAAAGCACGGGGCUUAACUCCGUUAAGGCAGUGGAAACUGAAUAGCUAGAGUGCCGUAGGGGUAGAGGGAAUUCCCGGUGUAGCGGUGAAAUGCGUAGAGAUCGGGAAGAACAUCGGUGGCGAAAGCGCUCUACUUGGACGGCAACUGACACUCAGGGACGAAAAGCUAGGGGAGCGAAUGGGAUUAGAUACCCCAGUAGUCCUAGCUGUAAACGAUGGAUACUAGGUUGUAGCUUGUAUCGACCCGAGCUGUGCCGAAGCUAACGCGUAUAGUAUCCCGCCUGGGGAGUACGCACGCAAGU